GAUGAACGCUGGCGGCGUGCCUAAUACAUGCAAGUCGAGCGAACAGACGAGGAGCUUGCUCCUCUGACGUUAGCGGCGGACGGGUGAGUAACACGUGGAUAACCUACCUAUAAGACUGGGAUAACUUCGGGAAACCGGAGCUAAUACCGGAUAAUAUAUUGAACCGCAUGGUUCAAUAGUGAAAGACGGUUUUGCUGUCACUUAUAGAUGGAUCCGCGCCGCAUUAGCUAGUUGGUAAGGUAACGGCUUACCAAGGCAACGAUGCGUAGCCGACCUGAGAGGGUGAUCAGCCACAAUGGAACUGAGACACGGACAAGACUCCUACGGUAGGCAGCAGUAGGGAAUCUUCCGCAAUGGGCGAACGCCUGACGGAGCAACGCCGCGUGAGUGAUGAAGGUCUUCGGAGCGUAAAACUCUGUUAUUAGGGAAGAACAAAUGUGUAAGUAACUAUGCACGUCUUGACGGUACCUAAUCAGAAAGCCACGGCUAACUACGUG
rnacentral:rRNA from 1 species